rnacentral:rRNA from 1 species
AGCUCGUGUCGUGAGAUGUUCGGUUAAGUCCGCUAACGAGCGCAACCCUUGCCGCGUGUUACAUGUGUCACGCGGGACCGCCGGUAUUAAGCCGGAGGAAGGCGGGGAUGACGUCAAGUCAGCAUGGCCUUUAUGCCUGGGGCUACACACACGCUACAAUGGGCAGUACAAUGGGUUGCCAAGCCGCGAGGCGGAGCUAAUCCCCCAAAACUGUCCUCAGUUCAGAUUGCAGGCUGAAACUCGCCUGCAUGAAGCCGGAGUUGCUAGUAAACGCGCGUCAG